AGGAAUCGCCCGGCUCACAGCAAUACAACUACACUGUGUACAAACUCCGGUACAGGUGGCAGAAGCGGAUUCUGCAGGAAUUUGGUGAAAAUGAAGAAAGAUGAGCUUAUAUUUUACUCUUUUCCGGGCAAAAAACAUAACCGAAAGAAAACACUGUGAGCCUGCUUGGCUGCCAUGUCACCCCAUACCCAAAUGGAGUGUCUCCCUCAUCCACAGUGAAAUCCGGGGGGAAUACCUACAUUUUCUAUUGCACAAAAUCCGAGCCUGCCAGCAGCUGCCGAGGAGUCAGUCCUACUCUGAAGUGCUCAAGUAUAUCUUGGCCGUAGGGAAUUUCCUCAAUGAGAAUGCAGGGAAGGAGGGUGCUAAGGGAUUUUGGUUAUCCUCCCUGCUUAAGGUGGGUUGCUAUUUUUUUUCCCCAUUUUAUUACUUACCUAUAACUGUCAUACUAGUGUUAGACCGAAGACUCGGGGGCACCAACGGGUGUCGCGUGGAGAUCAGUGUUGGCUGCAGUUUGUACCACGAAGACGCCUGUACAGUAUCUGUAACUGCUAAAGCUUAGACCUUGUCUUCUCCAGACACUGAUGCUCAAAUUAAAGGAAAGCCUGAAUUAUACAACUGGCAUAGCCUGUACAGAGAGAUCCCAUAAAACUAUGGCAGCAUAGGUAUUCCCCUGUUCUAAGCACAAUUCAGCAGGAACAGCCCCCUAAAGUUGCUCAUAGUCUACACAGAGAGAUACCGUAAAACUAUGACAGCAUAGGUAUUCCUCUGUACUAAGCACAAUUCAGCAGGAACAGCCCCCUAAAGUUGCUCAUAGUCUGUACAGAGAGAUCCCAUAAAACUAUG